AUUAAUUGUUUAGAUAUUCUGCGGGCAUCUCUUGGGCUUGCAAAAGAUCUUAAUGCUAUUUGAUUGCACUUAGAGGGACUCAUGAAAGCAGGUUUUGCCUAUACUGGUGCUUCAUAUUUUUAUCAAUUGUAUGAUUACAUGUUUUACCUCAACUUUGAUGCUUGAAUUAAAUCGUUUCAGUACUAUCUUCUUCUAUGAAAGAGUAAAAACACGAAAUUGGUUUCACUCCUUGCCUUAAUAUGCAUCAUCUUUAUGAUGCCCGAGGGCUUAAGUUCCGCAGUGCUGCCAAAACUUAGUCAAGUGUUUCAAGUAUGAAACAUAAAGGAAAAUUAUAUGGGAUUAUAAAAAAUAAAUGACUAAUGCCAUUAAUAAAAAUAAACUAAUUUAUUUAAAACAGAAUCAUGGAUUCAAUAAAUUUUGACAUAAAACAAAAAAUACUUCAAUGAUAAUCACUUAAAUACACAAGCAAAAGAAAAAAAAUCCCAUCAACUUAUUUUCACGCUGGAUCUGGUUUAGGAUCAUUCCAACACUAUCCAACAAUAAAGUUUCCAGAGUAACUUUAAUGCUUGCAGCAUCAUUUCUUUCCUUCCACUCAUCAAUUAUUGCCUUUAGAGCUACGCCAACAAUCGAAUUUGUGCUCUUUAGGUUCAAUCCUCACUUUGGACAAACAAUUUCCUCAGUAUUCUCAAACUAACAAACCAUUUGAGAAUUGUUGUCCUCUUAUAUGUUAUUCCACUUUCUAUUGUUAUUGGAUCAUUCAUAAUCUUUUAUAUCAACGGACAGAAGAAUGUAUCAUAUAUGAGCUCCACGUAUUGAGCCAUCUGUGGUAAACUGACAAAGGGACCAGCACUCCAACUUUCAUAGUCAUUUUUGUCUAAACUCUUCCUGCUUUCUAAAUUACCUGAUAACUGUUAUUCACUACAUAAAUUUAAACAUCACUGGAAUAUAAAUUUGUGUCCAUUUGUUCCCUAUCUCACCCUCGUAUGUCCACAGAAAACAAUUAAAGUUGCUCUUUUAACUCUAGAAUUCAAGUUUCAUUAACUACAACAUUUGAACUUUGGAGAGAAUCAAGUUAUGUGUAAAUUGAUUCCUAAUUGCUAUUUUUAGCAUUUAAUUUUCUGGCUGCCUACCAUGCAUUUUUUUUUUCUUUUUUGGCUAAUGUUGCACCAUUGCUUUAUGACAAUUAUUCUUUGUCUGUUAGCUUUUUGGUCAUCUAUCAUGGAAUUGAUUUUUUUUUUUUCCAUUAGUAAUCUCUAAAAAAAUAAAAAAAAUCCCAUUUUGUUGAUCACUUUUUAAGAUUUAGCUGUAAAUCGUAAGUGAUAGGUUUGCUAUGAUAGUACUUGUGGUUAAUUUGGAUAUAUCUUUACUCAUGCUUUUUAAUAUUUGGCUUUAAAUUUAUGAGCAAUGAGUUUUUUUCAGCUGGAUUAUCAUAAGAUUUUUCUUUGGGAUGUUAUAUUUUAUGCAAGCAUGUCUUGUUUCCAAGGCUUGCUCCUUCCUAAAGCUGCUUCACAGUUUCUGCAUUUGGGUACAUGGUUUGUAAUUUGGCCAAUCCACCUGUUAUUGUCUAAAUACUUUGGCAUCUUUCGUGUAGUUCUCUACUAAUAAUACGACACAUGUUUCUACUGCAUUUUAUAACUCACAUUGACUGUCUUACGGGGCUUCAUAUGAGCUCUUGCAGUUGGGAGCUUCUGUACUUCAUCUUGAAGAUCAUAUUGCUAGUUGUUGUGAUUGCCCCCAUUCCAUUUGGAUUGGGUUGUUUCAGUUUGGAGUAGAUUGUAGCAGGGGCUUUUCACGCAGAAGAUAAUGUUUUUAUUGGGAAUAGUAUUUGUUGACCUCGCAAAUUGGACCCUCCACGUGGUCAACCGAUAGCUACUCCACGUAUUCUUCUCUACGCUCAGUCAACGCACGGUCAGAUGCACACGACCGGAACCAGCGAGGGUGGUGGCGACCGCAUACACUCCGACGAUCAAGUUAGCCUCAGGUGAUCGGAACAAUACCUAGGUUGUGCAAAAUAGUGGGGAUGAGAAUAUAUAUUUGCUUGUUAUGGAAAGAUAUGUUGUAAGAGUUUCAUUACCUUUACCUCUUGUCAAACCUUGGGUAUUUAUAGGUGAGGAGAAUCGUUGGAUGUGGGACACGUGUAUGCAUCUGACGGUGUGAGGCGUUUGCUCAUAGGCUUCAAUCAGUCGCGUCUAUAGAGUGGGCGGGUAAUUACUUCUCCCGAGUUGAGUUGACAUAAAGUUGAUACAUCACAUCAACUAGGCUCAUGGAGAUGUCCAAUCAAUUAAACCUUGGGGGCAGAAAGGACCUUGACAUAGAUCUUUUUCUGAAAUUGGCGGCAGAUCCUCUGAUAGAGAGCCUCAAAAUGUAGUGCGCCUCAACUUCAGGGGCUAGGACGCUUCGAUCGAUUCAGUAAAUUGUCUGUAUCUCGUAGUGCAUUAGCAGAUCAACAACAUUGGUGGUGGUGUUACUUCGGAACCACUUCGGAUGGGUGUUGAACACCUCGUAUUAUAACUCCAAGGUUAGAAAUCGGACAGAGAGAUCAGACCCCAGUAGAAUAAAGUUAAUUAAUUUUUGUGGUGGCUUCGACCUCUUUUGUAAUCCAAUUCCAAAUGAAUGAAAUGAAUUUUUUUUGUUAAGUAUUGUUGCUUCUGCUUUUCUAUUGUGUUGAACCGUUUACAUUUGAGUAUAUGAAUGACAAUCACUUAAGUAAACAUGAUGCGCCAUUUACCAAUAAUCGGUUAAUAACAGAAGAUCGGACUAAUUAACAUAUUGAAGAGCUGAGGUAACAAUUUACUAACCGAUGUGACAAAGAACUAAAGUAUCAUUACUUAGAGAAGUUACACCACCCUUCACUAAGGGAUUUUUAGCACUUAGUAAGAUAGAGAAGUUACAAAUGAGAUCGGAUCAUGACAUAUUCAUUAGACAUUGAGAUUGGAUCGGAACACAAGUUCAUCACUGAUCGUACUUCCUCAAGUGUUCGAUGUUCCAUUGAUGAGGGAGUGCUUUCCCUGCCAUGUCUUCAAUUUCAAAAGUGCCAAGUCGGGAUUCCCUAAGGAUGCAGCAAGGACCCUCCCAGUUCGAUCCCAACACUCCGGACCCGGUUGGCUUUGAUGAUUGGAAGACCCUUUUUAGGACGAGGUCCCCCAGACGAAGAGUCCGAUUUCUGACCUUGAAGUUAUAAUAGCGGGUCAUCUUUAUAUGAUACUUUGUCAAGUUCACCUGGGAGGCAUCCCUCCUUUUUUCAAGGAGGUGAAGUUCGUUCAUUCGAGCCUCGUCGUUAUUGAUCUCAUUGAAGUGUAUUUGACGGUACGAUAGGACUCCUACCUCAACCGGGCUCAUGGCCUCGGCUCCGUAGGUCAUUGAGAAUGGUGUCUCCCCUGCUGCAGUUCGGCUAGUUGUUCUAAUGGCCCAGAGGGCGUGGGGAAGCUCAUCGACCCAAGCCCCCUUCGAGAUGUCAAGCUUCAUUUUCAAGGUAUGCUUGAUUGUUUUGUUUACUGCUUCAACUUGCUCAUUUGCUUGUGGGUGAUGAGGCGUUGAGAAAUCCUUCUUUAUGCCCAGUUCGUCGCAUAAGUCUCGCAUUUUCUUGUUGUCGAACUGUUCCCGUUGUCGGAUACUAAGGAGUGGGGAAUGCCGAACCUAUAAACCUAUAAACGAUAUUCUUCCAGACGAAUUUUGUAGUAUUUGCCUCGGUGAUCUCGGCAAGAGGUUCAGCUUUGAUCCACUUGGUAAAAUAGUCGAUGGUGACAAUGGCAAAAGUCGCGCUUCCUCUUCCUUUUGGGAGUGGGCCAAUGAAGUUGAUGCCCUAUUUGGCGAACGGCUAAGGGCCGGUCACUACGGAGAGGCUCUGAGAAGGUUGGCUUUGAAUAUUUGAGAAGCGUUGGCACUUGUCACAUUUCUGGACAAACUGGCAAGUAUCCCUUUCAGGGUCGCCCAAAAGUAGCCUUACCGGAGUACUUUGUGUGCCGGAGCCGUUCCUCCGGGGUGAUUCCCACAGAUUCCCUCAUGGAUUUCCCUGAGUAUAUACAUUCCCUCUUUGCCUCCUACACAUCGGAGAAGUGGCGAGGCGAAGCCUCUUUUGUAGAGGACAUUUUCUUGUAGGACGAAAUGUGCAGCCCUUCUUCUUAACUUCCUUGCCUCGCUUCUAGAAGCUGGUAGUGAUUGGUUCUUAAGAUAGGCGAUGAUGGAUUGCAUCCAUAACGGGGUGCCUUCUAUCCAUAGCAUCUCUUCACCUCCGGAAAUGGAGGGCUUCGAUAAGUGUUCAAUGGGGACAACCUUUAGUAGCUCUGAAUUCUUGCUGCUGGCCAAUUUUGACAGGGCGUCUGCAUGAGUAUUCUCUAGGCGUGGGACUUGAAUCAGCUCGAACCUUUCAAAAUGAGGAACUAGGUCCAGAACCAAUUUCAAGUAUGCAACCAUGCUACUGUCUUUGGCUGCGAAGUUUCCAUUGACCUGACUCACUACAAGUUGAGAAUUGCUGCUUGUUAGAAGCCCUCUAACCUGCAUUUCCUUCGCCAGUCUAAGGCCUGCUAGAAGGGCCUCAUAUUCAGCAGCGUUGUUCGAGGCUUUGAAGCCAAACCUUACUGCGCAAUUUAGUUUGUGGCCUUCGGGCUUUCCAAGUCGAUCCCUGCCUCAGAGCCAACCUCUCCUGAGGAUUCAUCUACGAACAGUUUUCACGUUGGGGGCUUGGCUGGUUCCAUUGUCACCUCCAUUUCUGGGGUUUUGGCAAAUUCAGCCACAAAAUCUACAAAGGCCUGAUCCUUGAUGGCAUGUCGAGGUCGGAAUAGUAGGUCGAACUCACUGAGCUUGAUUGUCCAUUUUAGCAGGCGUCCUGAUGCGUCUGUUCUCUGCAGCACUUGCUUCAAUGGGAAGUUGGUGAGAACUUCAAUUGAGUGGGCCUGGAAGUAUGGCCUCAGUUUCCUUGAGGCUGUGACGAGGGCAAGUGCCAGUUUCUCCAUGUCUGGGUAGCGUGUUUCAGCUAGGAGGAGUGCUUUACUGACAUAGUAUACCGGCAACUGGUGCCCAUUCUCUUCUCUGACUAGGACUGCAUUGACCGCCUCGUCUGAGACCGCCAAGUACAGGAGUAGUGAUUCUUCUGGUUGAGAUUUGGACAACAGGGGCACCUCUCCUAAGUGCUUCUUCUGCGCUUGGAAGGCUUCUUCGCACUCAUAAGUCUAUUGGAACUUCUUUCCUUGUUUCAGCACAUUGAAGAAGGGCAAGAUCUUAUCUGUAGCUCUGGAGAUGAAGCGACUGAGAGCGGCUAUCCGACCAUUGAGGCUUUGGACCUCCUUUGGUUUUUGAGGUGACCUCAUUUCAAGCAAGGUCAUUAUCUUCACUGGGUUUGCUUCGAUUCUUCUUUGGUUUACAAUAUAUCCCAAAAAUUGACCCGAAGCCACUCCAAAGGUGCACUUGAGGGGAUUUAACUUCAUUUUAUAUUUUCUAAGUAUCUAAAAGGUUUGGUCGAGAUGACUUACGUGUUCGAUGGCCUGAAGGCUUUUGACUAGCAUAUUGUCCACGUAGACCUUCAUGGUUUUGUCAAUGAGUUCGGCAAAUAUCAUGUUGACUAGCCUCUGAUAUGUAGCUCUAGCAUUUUUCAAUCCGAAGGGCAUGACUUUGUAGCAGUACGGUCCUCUGUCUGUGAUGAAUGAUGUAGCCUCCUCAUCAGGUCGGAACAUGGGUAUCUGGUUAUACCUUGAGUAUGCAUCCACGAAGCUCAAGAGUUCAUGUCCGACGGUGGAAUCCACAAGUUGGUCUAUCCUUGGAAGUGGGAAACUGUCUUUAGGGCAUGGCUUAUUUAAAUUUGUGAAGUCUACGCACACCUUUUACUUUUCGCUGGGCUUCUUCACCAGGACCGGGUUGGAUAUCCACUUCGAAUAGAUGGCUUCUCUGAUGUAGCUGCUGCGGCUAAGUUGGUGUACUUCGUCUUUCAGCGCCUCAUACCGUUCUGGGUUGAGGGCACGUCUUUUUUGCCUCUGUGGGGCAUCGGAAGAGUUGAUGUUAAGAUGAUGGCAACUGAUCCUUGGAUCUAUUCCCACCACGUCUUCAAUCUUCCAAGCGAAGACAUCCAAGUUCUUUUACAGGAAGCUCACCAUUUCUUUUUUUGCUUCGGGGGACAGUGCCUUUCCUAUUAGCAGGACCUGAUUGGGGUCCUCUGGGUUGGCGAAAAAUGUUUCAAGUUCUUGCAUUGGGGUUGCAUUUAGCUCGAAGUCAAUGAUCCGGGGAUCUAAUUCAUCAAGAGGGUGCCCUUCUUCAGAGGCCUCUUCCAUGUCGACGUCUUCCUCCUUUUCGAAGGUAUGCCCUUGUUCAGGGGCGUCGAGCAUUUUCACGUCCAAAUUGAGUUCACUGACAACUUCAAUUAUGAUCACGUUAACAGUUCGGGGCUCCAAUUUUCGCAGAGAGUUUAAGUAAUAUGUCCUGGAGCCCAUCUGAUCGCACCGUACCGUGGCAAUCCCAUGUUCAGUUUGGAAUUUCAUGCACAAGUAGUGGAUGGAGGUGAUAGCCCAAAGAUCUUUUAAGGCGGGUCUGCCCAAUACUCCAUGGUAGGCUAAUUUGUGGUCUACCACUAAGAAUUUCAUGAAGUGUUGGGCCACUAGAGGAGCUGAACCCAUCUCGAUAGGCAGAGUAAUCCGCCCUCGUGGGACGAUGCUGUCUCCAGUAAAUCCGAACAGUGGAUCGGUCAUGGGGAUCAACCCAUGUUCAAUUUGCAUCUUGUCGAAGGUGGAGCCGAACAGUAUAUUCACCGAACUGCCAUUGUCGACGAGCAUGCGUUUGAGCCCGUUUCUUGCCACUACGGCUCUUACAACCAAUGCGUCACAAUGGGAGUGGUGAACUCCUUGCGUAUCUUUCUGGGAGAAGGUGAUUGGGGCCAUCCUAUUGGCCUCUUGGGACUCGUUGACAAUGUAGGUGAGCAUUGGUGGGUCCUUUGCUUCCCUUGUGUAAUUCCUUUGGGUGUUCCUGGUGUUGCCACCGAUAUGAGGUCCCCCAAUGAUCAUGUCGAUCUCCCUGAUGAUUUGGCCUCCAGAAAAUGGGGCCUGAUCUCUCUGUUUGGACUCUCUUCGGUCCCUUGAUUCUCUUCUCUGAGGUGAUUGCUCUCUAUGCCACUGCUCUCUAUGCCUUCUCUUUCCCCUAUUCGAGGAGGCGGAUCUAUGAGGAUAUUCGUUCCUCCUGGAGGGAUGUGGGUUGCUCCGAUUCGGGCGUCGAGGAGCGUCUCUGCACUCGUUGGUGUCAUGCCCAUGGAGUUGGUAGAAAGUGCAAAACCUUGCCCUUUCCAAGGGCCUGUUUGACCACUUCUUCUUCUUCUUUUUAUUACUAUCAGUUCUUCCAGAUGGCCCUGCUACGCCAAGGAAAUUCUCGUAUGCCAACACCGGCACUGCAUUUAGAGUGGCGGAAGCCAGUGCCUGUCCGGAGGUGGGAGCUAUUGUAUUACCUGCUUGAGUCCAUUGUUGAGUGACAAGGUGUGCUGCGGGUCCUCGACCUACCUGCCUUUGAGGCGGAGGGAGUCCCUGCACGGCACGAUUUCAGUGAUCAAUCAUCUAUUCACUGACGAUCUCAACUCUCAUCAUUUCUACCAGUUCGUCAUAAGUGGUGGGAUUUUUGCUGCGCACAUCCCUCCAGAAUAAAGUGUUCAUGUUGAGGCCGUCUUUCAAGGCCGAAAGGGCUUCUCUGUCAGUGACGUGCUUGCAAUACGUGAUUUCGUCUGUAAACCUGGCGAGAUAGUUUUUCAGCGUCUCUCCAGGGGCCUGCCUCAUAUCUUACAGGGGUUGCACCGGGGUCUUUCCUCUGCGUGAGAGGUACUGGUUCAAGAAUGCCUUCUUCAAAUUCGGCCUGCUCCUAAUGCUCAGGGGAGGAAGUCUGUUGUACCACACUUCAGCAGCUCCACCUAGGGUUAAGUGGAAGGCUCUGCACUUCAAAGUAGGCGAGGCUCCCCUGAGGCUCAUCUAUGUCAUGUAGUUGGUGAGGUGCUUCUUCGGGUCCCCCUUUUCUUCAUACUUGGGGAUCUUGAGGGGCAUGAAAUUUGCAGGCAUUGGUAAACAUCGGAUUUCCUUUGAGAAAGGGAGGUUAUCAUCGUCGUCGUCAAUUUCAUAGGAUCGACAAUGCCCAUCUGACUCUUCAUCAUCUUGAGUGUUCUGGGGAGGUGGAGGUGCUUUUCCUCGACUGGCCCAAUCAACUAAGUCCCUUCUCUUCUUCCUAUUUCUAGGAGGAGGAGGUGCUUGUUCUUGCUCCUGUUCUUGUCGAACUGAUCUUCGCACUGAGCGGACCCUAUUACUAGGGUCCUGCCCUAUUCGGUCGAAGACGCUGACUGACCUUUGUGCUUUAUAUUCUUGAGGGAAAUUGUCCCCCAAUUGUGGUUCUGAUGGCUAGCUCCCUUACACAUUGGAUGUGGCUUCCGCACCCACUUCUCUUUCAAGGGGGUGUUUUCUGUGCUGACUCACGUGGUCUCGGGAACGAGAUGCAGAGGCUUCCUGAAUUGGGUAAGAUCCUUGGGGCAUUUGAGAGCUCUGGUGACCUCGGGCUUGCAUGAGAAGUUCAUGCAUCGCCAUAUUCUGGGCUGCGAUGUCUUUCAUGUCCGCAGCUAUUUGAGUCAUUCCUUUAGUGAGCAUGACUGUUCUUUCAUCUCGACGACGUCGGUGAUGGGGUCUCUGGUGAGUGACAUUGUUACGGAGCACCUCUUCUUCAGAGGCCUCUCUCAUAGGGUUCUCGUCUUCAUGGUUGUAACUUAUCUUAUCUUUUUUUUCAAGGGUGAUAAGAACUUGAAUUAUUACUCGACUUUGCUCUUUUUCAAGAACGUGCCCUUUUCAGGGUAAGCCACUAGUUUUUCGGUGGUUUCUCCAGUGGAGAAUGCAGAACUUUGGACGGGAAGUUUCCCACAGACGGCGGCAAUCUGUUGACCUCGCAAAUUGGACCCUCCACAUGGCCAACCGAUAGCUACUCCACGUAUUCCUCUCUGCGCACAGUGAACGCACGGUCAGAUGCACAUGGUCGGAACCAGGGGGUAGUGGCGGCCGCAUACACUUCGACGGUCAAGUUAGCUUUAGGUGAGCGGAACAAUACCUAGGUUGUGCAAAAUAGUGGGGAGGAGAAUAUAUAUUUGCUUGUUAUGGAAACCUAUGUUGUAAGAGUUUCAUUACCUUUGCCUCUUGUUAAACCUUGGGUAUUUAUAGGUGAUGAGAGCAGUUGGAUGUGGGAAACGUGUAUGCAUCUGAUAGUGUGAGGUGUUUGCUCAUAGGCGUCAAUCAGUUGCGUCUAUAGAAUGGGCGGAUAAUUACUUCUCCCGAGUUGAGUUGACAUAAAGUUGAUACGUUACAUCAACUAGGCUCAUGGAGACGUCAAAUCAAUUAAACCUUGGGGGCAGAAAGGAUCUUGACAUAGAUUUCUUUUUGAAAUUGACGGCGGAUUCUCUGACAAAGAGCCUCGGAAUGUAGUGCGCCUCGGCUUCAGGGGCGAGGACGCUUCGGUCGGUUCAGUAGAUUGUCUGUGCCUCGCAGUGCGUUAGCAGAUUGACAACAUUGGUGGUGGCGUCACUUCGGAACCACUUCGAAUGGGUGUUAAACACCUCGUAUAACGUGAUGAUAGACUUUUCGAAGUGGUUCAGAUAGGAGCGUAACAAUAUUGAUUGGAGAGACACUUUUAAAAGAGCAUACAAAGGUAAUAAUGAACUAUGUUGCUAGUUAACCAAACAAUUUCAAAUUGCUGACAACCAUCAAUAUAUUCAUUGACAUUUGAUGAGUUUCAGAGCAACAUGGGAAAUUUUGUAAAGUUAGGUCAAUGAACAAGGACGACUUGCUAAAAAAUAUUUGGAGUGCAGAAAACUAUGGGAUCCAAUAAUGGAGGCAGUGGGGGGCGAAGCCAAGAAUGGGGUGGCAAUCUACAGAGGCGGGGAUCGUUCACACUGCCAUGUACAUUGAGUCAGAAGACAGUUGAUUAGGUUUCGAAGGAUAUAUCAAAAGAGUCUGGUGUCAGGAAGGAUGGGAGUGGUAUCGUAUAUUUUUAGGAGAAAUCGUGCUUUGGAGAAGGAUGUAGAAAGGAAUCAAAAGAAAAUGAUAAAAAACAGAGAGUCAGUUACAAGAUUAAGGGAUUGAAAGUAGGUAAAUAUCUCAAAGUUUUUGUUUAUAUUUUCAAAUUUUUUAUGGCAUGUAUGUGACUAUUUUCAUUAUCACGUGUCAAAAUAGUGGACUUAUGAAUCGUAAAUACAAUGUUUAACGGAAAAUCUAAUCAAAUGCUCGGAAAAUCCAUUCUUAGAAAUUUGCCAUCUCUCUAAUUAUGUGGAGGUAAUUGAAGAUUCCAGACACUGAAAAAAUUUGUUGUUUCCAUGAAACUUAGAAUAAAAAUUGGACACAUGCAAGACUGCUGCUUAUUGAGAAAGAUAUCAGAUAAAUCUAAUUUCAGAGAAAAAGUUAAGAAAAUAAGUAAAUCGACAGGUUAACUUUCAUCUACUUAUCCCUUUAAGGAUUUUGAUUAUCACUGACAUUAUGCUUUUAUCAUGUUGCAUAUGGCAAUCUAAUGUGUCAAACAGAUGAAUUCACGUCCUGAGAAGUUUAAAGCUUCCAUUUGCUACAAGAUAAUAUAGUAUGUGCUUUAAGAAACAAUAAUAGUUUGUUUUACUCCUGCAAUUGUUACACAAUGUUAACACGAUUCUUGUCGUAAAUUUUAAUUAAUCGGUCAAUUAUGUUAUUGUUUACAACGCAUAUUAACUUCCAUUAAACCAUUUUUUAUUUAGUGUUUUCCAGGCAUACUCUACUAUGGAGUUGAAAGCAGAAGUUGCAAAACUGAAGGAAGAAAACCAAGAAUUGCGGAAGAAACUGGGAAGCGUGAAUUUGACUAAUCUCCAUUUCCAUUUCUGUAACUUCUUAUUCUUAUUAAAUUAUAUCUGAUUUAUACCAUUUGGGUAUUCUAUUAUGUAGGCAGGAAUUAUGGAAUUGAUGAGGAAUCAGAUACCUGUCACCGUAAUCUUUCCCUUUAAAAAAAUUUAACUUACAGGUAUUUGGUGAAACCUGGCCAAUUGUUUAUUUUCUACAUUG
rnacentral:lncRNA from 1 species